GUCGAACGAUGAAGCUUUUAGCUUGCUAGAAGUGGAUUAGUGGCGCACGGGUGAGGAAAGCAUAGGUUAUGUGCCCUUUAGUCUGGGAUAGCCACUGGAAACGGUGAUUAAUACUGGAUACUCCCUACGGGGGAAAGGUUUUUCGCUAAAGGAUCAGCCUAUGUCCUAUCAGCUUGUUGGUGAGGUAAUGGCUCACCAAGGCUAUGACGGGUAUCCGGCCUGAGAGGGUGAUCGGACACACUGGAACUGAGACACGGUCCAGACUCCUACGGGAGGCAGCAGUAGGGAAUAUUGCUCAAUGGGGGAAACCCUGAAGCAGCAACGCCGCGUGGAGGAUGAAGGUUUUAGGAUUGUAAACUCCUUUUGUAAGAGAAGAUUAUGACGGUAUCUUACGAAUAAGCACCGGCUAACUCCGUGCCAGCAGCCGCGGUAAUACGGAGGGUGUAAGCGUUACUCGGAAUCACUGGGCGUAAAGAGUGCGUAGGCGGGUAGUCAAGUCAGAUGUGAAAUCCUGUAGCUUAACUACAGAACUGCAUUUGAAACUGACUAUCUAGAGUAUGGGAGAGGUAGGUGGAAUUCUUGGUGUAGGGGUAAAAUCCGUAGAGAUCAAGAGGAAUACUCAUUGCGAAGGCGACCUGCUGGAACAUUACUGACGCUGAUGCGCGAAAGCGUGGGGAGCAAACAGGAUUAGAUACCCUGGUAGUCCACGCCCUAAACGAUGAAUGCUAGUUGUUGCCCUGCUUGUCAGGGCAGUAAUGCAGCUAACGCAUUAAGCAUUCCGCCUGGGGAGUACGGUCGCAAGAUUAAAACUCAAAGGAAUAGACGGGGACCCCGCACAAGGCGGUGGAGCAUGUGGUUUAAUUCGAAGCUACGCGAAGAACCUUACCUAGGCUUGACAUUGAUAGAAAUCUGCUAGAGCAUAGCGKAGUGCUGGGCUUUGCCCAGAGCUUUGAMAACAGGUGCCUGCACGGCUGUCGUCAGCUCGUGUCGUGAGAUGUUUGGGUUAGUCCGCAUCGAAGCGCAAGCAUCGUUCGUUUAGUUGUUAGCAGAUUCGG
rnacentral:rRNA from 1 species